AGUGAACGCUGGCGGUAGGCCUAACACAUGCAAGUCGAACGGCAGCACAGUAAGAGCUUGCUCUUACGGGUGGCGAGUGGCGGACGGGUGAGGAAUACAUCGGAAUCUACUUUUUCGUGGGGGAUAACGUAGGGAAACUUACGCUAAUACCGCAUACGACCUACGGGUGAAAGCAGGGGAUCUUCGGACCUUGCGCGAUUGAAUGAGCCGAUGUCGGAUUAGCUAGUUGGCGGGGUAAAGGCCCACCAAGGCGACGAUCCGUAGCUGGUCUGAGAGGAUGAUCCGCCAAACUGGAACGGAGACACGGUCCAGACCCCUAGGGGGGGCAGAGGUGGGGAAUUUUGGAAAAUGGGGGAAAGCCUGAUCCAGCCAUACCGGGGGGGUGAAGAAGGCCUUCGGGUUGUAAAGCCCUUUUGUUGGGAAAAAAAAGCAGCAGGUUAAAACCCCGCUGUUUUAACGGUACCCAAAGAAAAAGCCCCGGCUAACUUCGU
rnacentral:rRNA from 1 species